AGCAGUCGCCGCGGUAAUACGGAGGGUGCAAGCGUUAAUCGGAAUUACUGGGCGUAAAGCGUGCGUAGGUGGUGGUUUAAGUCCGUUGUGAAAGCCCUGGGCUCAACCUGGGAAUUGCAGUGGAUACUGGGUCACUAGAGUGUGGUAGAGGAUAGUGGAAUUUCCGGUGUAGCAGUGAAAUGCGUAGAGAUCGGAAGGAACAUCUGUGGCGAAGGCGACUAUCUGGGCCAACACUGACACUGAGGCACGAAAGCGUGGGGAGCAAACAGGAUUAGAUACCCGAGUAGUCCCUGUCUCUUAUAC
rnacentral:rRNA from 1 species